rnacentral:lncRNA from 1 species
ACUUCUCAAUUUCUUCAAGAAAUCGGAGUUUUCAGAAGUCUUGUUGAACAAAAGAGCGGGGAUCAACUUAUUGGUAAAUCCGUUGCGUUUUUGCUUUCCUUUUCAAUUUCCUAGUUCUUGUUUAUGAAUGCCUAUUAGGUCUUGUAGAUUCAAGCAAAGGGAGAUGUUUUCUAGACAGUUAAGUUUCGAUAUUGCAUACAUUGUGUGGGUUAUAGGAGUUGAUUUGAUCCUCUCCAUACGUUCCUGCGUUUUCUGGUAUCGAAGUUAAGAUUUCUAAAACCCAAAACUAUCUUUAUUGUUC